GACGGAGGAGGCAAGCGUUAUCCGGAAUCAUUGGGCGUAAAGCGUCCGUAGGCGGCUUGGUAAGUCGGCUGUCAAAUCACAUGGCUCAACCAUGUAACGGCAGUGGAAACUGCUAGGCUAGAGUGCGGUAGGGGUAGCGGGAAUUCCCGGUGUAGCGGUGAAAUGCGUAGAUACUGGGAAGGACAUCGGUGGCGAAAGCGCGCUACUGGGUCGCAACUGACACUGAGGGACGAAAGCUAGGGGAGCGAAUGGG
rnacentral:rRNA from 1 species